GUUUCAUUCUCUGGAGGAACAUCUGCAAAGAUUCAAGAAAAAUUAACAAAACCAAUGAACAGCAAAGAAGAAAGUUAGAACAUUCAAGCUUAUCUUUUCUGACAAGACAUAACUGGGAUUCUUUUGUUUGGUUAGAUAUAAUUAGCAAAUAAAGCUAAAAUAUGUUACAACUGAAUGAGCUCUUCUGAAGUUCAUUCACUUCCCAUCCAUAUCAUAUUUUAAUUUAUAAGCUUAAAUAUAGAAUUGAAAACUAUAAACUGCCUCAUGAUAGAACAUCUGCACUAAUUACUAUUGCUAAAUAGUCAAGAUUUCAUGAAACACAAAUAAUAAUGCCCUUAAAAAAGCCCUUGAGUCUUAUAGAUAAUCAUAGAUCAGUGACAAAAAUUAGAGCACUGAAAAGCUAUGAACUAUUUGAAACAUUCCCAUGCAUCAAGCAAAUUAG
rnacentral:misc_RNA from 1 species